rnacentral:rRNA from 1 species
CGCAUCUGUGCAUGCAGCAUAUCAAUAAGCGGAGGAAAAGAAACUAACAAGGAUUCCCUCAGUAACGGCGAGUGAAGCGGGAAGAGCUCAAAUUUGAAAUCUUGAAAGGUUCACCUUGCACGAAUUGUAGUUUAAAGAAGCGUUUUCUGUGACGAUCUGGUAAUAUAAGUUCUUUGGAAUAGGACAUCACUAGAGGGUGAGAAUCCCGUCUAUGAUUGACCAUUAUUGUAGCUUUGUGAUACACUUUCAAAGAGUCGGAUUGUUUGGGAAUGCAGUCCCAAAACUGGGAGGUAAAUUUCAUUCUAAGGCUAAAUAUUGGCGAGAGACCGAUAGCGAACAAGUACCGUGAGGGAAAGAUGAAAAGAACUUUGAAAAGAGAGUUAAACAGUACGUGAAAUUGUCAAAAGGGAGCGUUUGACACCAGUGUUGUUUUCUCGAAAAUCAAUUAAAAAUGGCUCGAUUUUGUAUUGCUUGAGACCUUAAAAGCUCACUGUACAUUUUUCGUGUCUUUUUUAAUGCACUUUUCGUUUAACAAGUCAACAUCAGUUUCUUUUGUUGUAAAAGGGUCAUUGGAAGGUGGCUUUCUUUUCGGAGAAAGUGUUUAUAGCCUUUGGCCUCUGCAAUCGAAGAGACUGAGGUCUGCAGCGUAGACUCUUCGGGGUUAGAUACAUUUGUGCUAAGUUAUAGCUUUUUAUAGACAACUUGUUGACUAUAAUUAGUCUUGUAGCUUACUCGCUUAUGCUAUUUUACCUACGCUUAGGAUGUUGAAGUCAUCGUAUCGCGC